AUGGAGCACGGGACGUCAUCGGCGGCGGCGCUCUGGGGGCACGAGCACCUCCCGCUGCUGGCCCGCGCGCGCUCCAAGGACUCGGUAGAGUACAUCCUGCAGGCCCUUUGGCGCACCCGCCGCACCGGCCUCGACGCCGCCGACCGCGCCAUCGUCCGCGACAUCCUCCAGCUCCCCUCCGACUCCGAGCUCGACCCCGUCCGUACCUACCCACUUCUCAUCUCUGCUCCCUCUCCCCCUUCCGCGCCGCUGCGCCAGGUGCGAGGCAUUUUUGCAAAAGCAGCUUGGCCCUGUGCUCAAUGCCUAUACUCCUCUCUGUUGCAGCUCUUGGUGUGCCUCCGGAUACUGAUCCGCAGGUGCGUCCAUGACAACAUCGCGAAGGAGGAGAUUCCGAAGCUUUUCCCUGCAGAGGUGCUGCCCGAGCUGCAAAGGCUGCUCACUUUGCUCCUGCAGAAGUUUCAGCCGGAGUGGCGAGAGGACACCUUAAAGGAUCAGGCAUCCGCGGCGAAUUCGGGAACAACAAAAGGCCAUUUGAGUAAAAAUCAAGACGCGUCAGAGCAACCAGCUACUACACAGAUUCACUGUGGUACAUCAUCAGCAAAGCUCUCUUCUGAAUCAGGAGAGAAAGAAGGGAAGCUCCCGUUAGCUAAGGAUUCUUUAGACAAAAUGCUCAACGAUGUAUACCCAAUCAGGGGCUAA
rnacentral:rRNA from 1 species